GACGUCGAUAGUCGACGUCAUAAACACUAUCAACUUUGCUGUUUAUGACGUCGAUAUUCGACGACAUAAACACGAUCAACUGUGGUGUUUAUGACUUCGAAAUUCGACGACAUAAACACGGUCAACUUUGGUAGUUAUCACGUCGAUAUUCUGCGUCAUAAGCACGAUCAACUUUGGUGUUUAAGACGUCGAUAUUCGACGUCAUAAACACGAUCAACUUUGUUGUUUAUCACGUCGUUAUUCGACGUCAUAAACACGAUCUACUUUGGUGUUUAUGACGUCGAUAUUCGACGUCAUAAAGACGAUAAACUUUGGUGUUUAUGACGUCGUUAUUCGACGUC
rnacentral:miRNA from 1 species